UAUUCUUGUCGCCGUUGGCGCUUAUAUGGCAUUGGGAUUUCACAGCUGAAGUAGAUCAAGAAUCUAGUGUUUGGAAUAUCUUUGUUUUCUGUAGCGGUGAAAAUGUCGCACCACGAUUUACCAUUUCAAGCCGAAUAUGCCAAAAGUGGUCGCUCUGGGUGUAAAGCCUGCAAAGGGAACAUCGCCCAGGGUUCCCUUCGUCUUGCAGUUAUGGUACAGUCUCCUCACUUUGAUGGCAAGGUUCCUAACUGGUUUCAUUAUGCUUGCUUUUGGAAGAGGGCAAAGUGCCACAAUGCUGAUGAUAUUCAUAACAUUCACAGUCUAAGAUGGGAGGAUCAAGAGAAAAUCAAAGCACAAAUUGGAAAAGGAGGGGGAGGAGAUGAUGGUGGUGCUGCAUCGACUGAAGAUUUCAAUACUGAAUACGCUAAAUCUGGUAAAAGUCGCUGCAGAGGAUGUGAGGAGAAUAUUGCUAAGGAUAGCCUUCGCAUCAGCAAGAAGGAAUAUGAAUCUCAGAGAGCCAAGAUGUACGGACCCCAGGACUUGUGGCAUCAUGUUGACUGCUUUGUGGACAAACGAGACGAGCUUGGCUUUACUGAACAGUCAGACCCUUCAAUAAUCAAAGGAUUUGCCAAACUCAAGCCAGAGGACAAAGAAUUGCUCUAUGCCAAACUUGGCAAGGGGAAAAAGGCGGAAAAACGCAAAGGAGAUGACAAGAAAGACGCUGGUGGGAAAAAGGCAAAGAAGGAAGAAACGGAAGAAGAAAAGACGUUGAAGGAGCAGAGCAAGUUGCUGUGGGAGUACCGUGACAAGCUCUCCAAAGAUGUCUCCAACAAUGCCAUGAAACUGUUGCUAGAGCUGAAUGGUCAAAGUAUUCCGUCAGGAGAAAGCAAAGUAUUGGAUACUGUUGCUGAUUGCCUUGCCUUUGGAUCCUUGGAUAAAUGCCUUGAGUGCAAAGAUGGGCAGUUGUACUAUACAGCUGAAGGCUACAAAUGUUCAGGGAAUGUGACCGAGUGGACCAAAUGUAUGAACACCACAAAAGUGCCCAAACGAAGAGCUUUUAAAGUCCCCAAAGAAUUCCAUGAUGUUCCAUUCUUGAAGAGCUACAAGUACGUCAAAAGAGAACGGGCAUUCCCUCAGCUAUCUGUGGCUUCCUCUUCUGGUGUGGUCAGCUCCUCUCUAGACUCUGUGGAUGGACUAAGUAGUGAAAAACCGCUGCAAGACUUGAAGUUUGUCAUUCAAGGGAAGCUGGGGAAGAGCAAAGCUCAAGUGACCAGUGACAUCUCCAAGAAGGGAGGCGUGGUAGUGACAAAGGUGGACAAAAAAGUGGCGGCUGUCAUCAGCAACAAAGAUGAAGUCAAGAAAAAAGGUAAAGUGAUCAAAGAGGCAGAGGAAAAUGAGGUACAUGUGAUUAGUGAGGACUUCUUGGAGGCUUGCCAGAAGGGAAAUGUGGCGAAACUGAUUGCUGAGCACAGCAUUGCUACCUGGGGCUCCAAUGUUGAGAAGAGAAUUGGCCAGAGACCAAUGAAGAGUGCACCAAAGAGUGGCAUGACUGCCAAGGAAGAGGAAAGAUACACCAAGAGUGUACCGGCCAAGGUGAAAAUGAUGGUGAAGGGUGGCGCUGCCGUGGACCCUGACUCUGAACUGGCAGAAAAAGCUCAUGUGGUGCAGGAGGGCAAUGAGCCACUGACUGCUGUGUUGGGGCUGGUGGACAUUGCCAGGGGAACCAACUCCUUUUACAAACUUCAGGCUCUGGAGGGGGACAACAAGAUGAGCUGGUGGUUGUUCAGGGCCUGGGGCCGAGUGGGCACCACAAUUGGUGGGAACAAAGUGGAACGUUGUGGUUCUUUGGCCUCCGUCAUUCGCAAUUUCAAAGAGAUGUACGGAGAGAAGACAGGGAAUGACUGGGCGGAUAGGAAGAAUUUCCAGAAGAUUCCGAACAAGUUUUAUCCCUUGGAGAUUGACUAUGGCCAGGAUGAAGAAGACAUCAAGAAGCUGGAUCUGGCAUCCUCAAAAUCAUCUCUGCCGAAGAAUGUGCAGGAUCUCAUCUGCAUGAUCUUUGACGUGGAAAGCAUGAAAAAAGCCAUGUUGGAGUUUGAGAUUGACAUGAAGAAGAUGCCCCUUGGGAAGCUCUCUAAGAGACAGAUUCAGUCAGCUUAUUCGGUCUUGACAGAGCUGCAAAGGUUCAUUGAAAAUGAAGGGACACAGACGCAGUUUGUCGACGCUACCAACAGAUUCUACACUGCAAUCCCUCACGACUUUGGUAUGAAGAAACCGCCUUUGCUGGACACAGCAGAAGUCAUAAAGCAAAAGACUGACAUGCUUGACAACUUGCUUGAAAUUGAAGUGGCCUACUCGCUGUUGAAAGGAGGGGACGAAGGGGAAGAUCCGAUCACUUCCCACUACAAGAAACUCAAAUGCAAGAUGGAGAACAAAAGUAUUCUUCACCAUCACAGAUUCAUUGUUUACGACACAGCUCAGAUCAACAUGAAGUACCUUUUCAAGAUGAAAUUCAACUACAGGUGGUAGGAGCUGCCUCACAGGGUUAGGGGAAGUCUGCACUUGAACGAUGAGAGGAGACCUGCACUGAGGAAAGAGCCAAGGAAAACAUACAUAAUGCUUGGAUUAUGACUGUGAAUACUAAUGUUGUAUCGAUACAACUGAAAUUAACCGGUGUCUGCGGUGUAGUGGUUAGGCACUUCUAGAAAAUCCAAAUUUGAUUCCUGCUUAAAGAACUUUUUUUAUAGGGUAUCUUGGUCUUUCUGCUGAGACAUUGCAUCCUUCUCUGCCCAGGUUGGCCCAGACAGGCAGGGUCGAAGCCCACCUCCUAAAUGAUUUGAAUUGUGUUUGGGGGGGGGGUGAUGUGCAUGCCUUGUUUUUAUUCCAAAUUGAGAAAUUUCAUUUCUGUUUCUAAAAAUGCAUGUUUACAGUCUUUCUUCUGUAUAUUCCAUGUUGAUAAAGAGUAGCACUUGAUGAACAUUAUAUGCUUAUUGUUUUUCUUUAAAUAGAUAUCAUAAUGACUUA
rnacentral:sRNA from 1 species